rnacentral:rRNA from 1 species
UACAGAGGUGGCAAGCGUUGUUCGGAAUUACUGGGCGUAAAGGGCGCGUAGGCGGCCUUCUAAGUCAGACGUGAAAUCCCCCGGCUUAACCUGGGAACUGCGUCUGAUACUGGGAGGCUUGAGUAUGGGAGAGGGAUGUAGAAUUCCAGGUGUAGCGGUGAAAUGCGUAGAUAUCUGGAGGAAUACCGGUGGCGAAGGCGGCAUCCUGGACCGGCAUUGACGCUGAGGAGCGAAAGCCAGGGGAGCAAACGGG